rnacentral:rRNA from 1 species
CAGUAGCCGCGGGAAUACGAAGGGGGCUAGCGUUGCUCGGAAUGACUGGGCGUAAAGGGCGCGUAGGCGGCGAUCAAAGUCAGGCGUGAAAUUCCUGGGCUUAACCUGGGGACUGCAUUCGAUACGUGCGGGCUUGAGUGUGGAAGAGGGUUGUGGAAUUCCCAGUGUAGAGGUGAAAUUCGUAGAUAUUGGGAAGAACACCGGUGGCGAGGGCGGCAACCUGGUCCAUGACUGACGCUGAGGCGCGAAAGCGUGGGGAGCAAACAGGAUUAGAUACCCCCGUAGUCCCUGUCUCUUAUAC